GAUGAACGCUAGCGGCAGGCCUAAUACAUGCAAGUCGGACGGGAUUUGGGAGCUUGCUCCCAAUGAGAGUGGCGCACGGGUGCGUAACACGUAUGUAACCUACCUUAAUCAGGGGGAUAGCCUCUCGAAAGAGAGAUUAACACCGCAUAAUAUAUUUUUAUGGCAUCGUAGAAAUAUCAAAUAUUUAUAGGAUUAAGAUGGGCAUGCGGAACAUUAGCUAGUUGGUAAGGUAACGGCUUACCAAGGCUACGAUGUUUAGGGGAUCUGAGAGGAUGACCCCCCACACUGGUACUGAGACACGGACCAGACUCCUACGGGAGGCAGCAGUAAGGAGUAUUGGUCAAUGGGCGCAAGCCUGAACCAGCCAUGCCGCGUGCAGGAAGACGGCCCUAUGGGUUGUAAACUGCUUUUGUACCGGAAUAAACCCUUUUACGUGUAAAAGGCUGAAUGUACGGUAAGAAUAAGGAUCGGCUAACUCCGUGCCAGCCGCCGCAGUAA
rnacentral:rRNA from 1 species